rnacentral:rRNA from 1 species
GAUGAACGCUGGCGGCGUGCUUAACACAUGCAAGUCGAACGAUGAAGCCCAGCUUGCUGGGUGGAUUAGUGGCGAACGGGUGAGUAACACGUGAGUAACCUGCCCUUAACUCUGGGAUAAGCCUGGGAAACUGGGUCUAAUACCGGAUAGGAGCGCCUACCGCAUGGUGGGUGUUGGAUAGAUUUAUCGGUUUUGGAUGGACUCGCGGCCUAUCAGCUUGUUGGUGAGGUAAUGGCUCACCAAGGCGACGACGGGUAGCCGGCCUGCGAGGGUGACCGGCCACACUGGGACUGGGACACGGCCCAGACUCCUACGGGAGGCAGCAGUGGGGAAUAUUGCACAAUGGGCGAAAGCCUGAUGCAGCGACGCCGCGUGAGGGAUGACGGCCUUCGGGUGGUAAACCUCUUUCAGUAGGGAAGAAGCGAAAGUGACGGUACCUGCAGAAGAAGCACCGGCUAACUACGU